rnacentral:rRNA from 1 species
GAUGAACGCUGGCGGCGUGCCUAAUACAUGCAAGUCGAGCGAACAGAUGAGGAGCUUGCUCCUCUGACGUUAGCGGCGGACGGGCGAGUAACACGUGGAUAACCUACCUAUAAGACUGGGAUAACUUCGGGAAACCGGAGCUAAUACCGGAUAAUAUAUUGAACCGCAUGGUUCAAUAGUGAAAGACGGUUUUGCUGUCACUUAUAGAUGGAUCCGCGCCGCAUUAGCUAGUUGGUAAGGUAACGGCUUACCAAGGCAACGAUGCGUAGCCGACCUGAGAGGAUGAUCGGCCACACUGGAACUGAGACACGGUCCAGACUCCUACGGGAGGCAGCAGUAGGGAAUCUUCCGCAAUGGGCGAAAGCCUGACGGAGCAACGCCGCGUGAGUGAUGAAGGUCUUCGGAUCGUAAAACUCUGUUAUUAGGGAAGAACAAAUGUGUAAGUAACUAUGCACGUCUUGACGGUACCUAAUCAGAAAGCCACGGCUAACUACGUG